CUCAGAGGCGCGAGGAGGAACCACCCACAAGCAGGAAGGCAGCCACGCGACUCGCUCUGGUAACAGCAGCGGUGAAGUCGACAAUCAUUGCCACGGAACCGCUCGGUGGAGCAAUGGACACAGAUCCCCCGUGCAGCCUGCCGCCGACUGCUGCGGCAAGUGCCGAUCGCGAGCAGCAGCACCGAUGAAGACCGCCACGAGGGGGUGGGUGGCGAGCACCACGAGCGCACGGGGCGGGCACAGACACGCGCGGAGAGUCGGGGGGGGGGGGGGGCUCUGUGUACCUGGACCAUCCAGUGCAGAGAUUCGCCGAUGAGCGGCAGCCCCAUGGAGCCACCCGGCAGCGGCAACUUGCAGCUGGGGUCGCGCGUGGCCGCCCACCGCAUCGCCCAGAGUCGCUGCGACACGAGCAGCAGGAGCAGC